rnacentral:misc_RNA from 1 species
ACUUCAAUUACAUCGACAAGUAAUACAACGUAGGUCGACGAAAAAAGCGUUAAGUAAAAACACAUUAUUAGAUAUAACUCGAAUAGUAGUUGUUAGAUCUCAAAUAAAUUUAAAUGGGACCAAUUGGCACACACCACCUUUCGAUUAAAACAAAAUUUGUCGAAAUCGGUCCACCCGGUCAAAAGUUCUGAUGUAACAUACAAAAAAAAAAAAAAAAAAAAAA